CCUACGGGAGGCAGCAGUGAGGAAUAUUGGUCAAUGGACGAGAGUCUGAACCAGCCAAGUAGCGUGAGGGAUGACUGCCCUGUGGGUUGUAAACCUCUUUUAUAUGGGAAUAAAAUGUUCCACGUGUGGGCUUCUGUCUGUACCAUAUGAAUAAGGAUCGGCUAACUCCGUGCCAGCAGCCGCGGUAAUACGGAGGAGCCGAGCGUUAUCCGGAUUUAUUGGGUUUUAAGGGAGCGUAGGUGGAGUGGUAAGUCAGGUGUGAAAGCUUGCGGCUCAACCGUGGAAUUGCGGUUGAAACUGGCAGGCUUGAGUGCAGGAGAGGUAGGCGGAAUUCGUGGUGUAGCGGUGAAAUGCUUAGAUAUCACGAAGAACUCCGAUUGCGAAGGCAGCUCGCUGGACUGCAACUGACGCUGAGGCUCGAAAGUGUGGGUAGCAAACAGGAUUAGAUACCCGUGUAGUC
rnacentral:rRNA from 1 species